CUUAACACAUGCAAGUCGAACGGGUGUAGCAAUACAUCAGUGGCAGACGGGUGAGUAACACGUGGGAACCUUCCUCGUUGUACGGGACAACUCAGGGAAACUUGAGCUAAUACCGUAUACGUCCGAGAGGAGAAAGAUUUAUCGCAAUGAGACGGGCCCGCGUCGGAUUAGCUAGUUGGUAAGGUAACGGCUUACCAAGGCGACGAUCCGUAGCUGAUCUGAGAGGAUGAUCAGCCACACUGGGACUGAGACACGGCCCAGACUCCUACGGGAGGCAGCAGUGGGGAAUCUUGGACAAUGGGCGCAAGCCUGAUCCAGCCAUGCCGCGUGAGUGAAGAAGGCCUUAGGGUUGUAAAGCUCUUUUGCCAGGGACGAUAAUGACGGUACCUGGAGAAUAAGCCCCGGCAAACUUCGUGCCAGCAGCCGCGGUAAUACGAAGGGGGCUAGCGUUGUUCGGAUUUACUGGGCGUAAAGCGCACGUAGGCGGGUCGUUAAGUCAGGGGUGAAAUCCCGGAGCUCAACUCCGGAACUGCCUUUGAUACUGGCGACCUUGAGGCUGGAAGAAGUUAGUGGAAUUCCCAGUGUAGAGGUGAAAUUCGUAGAUAUUGGGAAAGAACACCAGUGGCGAAAGCGG
rnacentral:rRNA from 1 species